GUCCACGGGCAUACCACCCUGAACAUACCCGAUCUCGUCUGAUCUCUGAAACUAAGCAGGGUCAGACCUGGUUAGCACUUGGAUGGAGAGAAAUCCUUACUAUUUUGGGGACUUCCUGGUGCCUGGAUU
rnacentral:rRNA from 1 species